rnacentral:rRNA from 1 species
GACGAACCUGACAAACGUUAUUCGGAGUUACUGGGCGUAAAGGGUGCGUAGGCGGCUUUUUAAGUUUGGUGUGAAAUCUCCCGGCUCAACUGGGAGGGUGCGCCGAAUACUGAGAAGCUAGAGUGUGGGAGAGGAAAGUGGAAUUCCUGGUGUAGCGGUGAAAUGCGUAGAUAUCAGGAGGAACACCGGUGGCGAAGGCGGGUCUCUGGGCCAUAACUGACGCUGAGGCACGAAAGCUAGGGGAGCAAACAGG